UGUUGAGAUGCAUGGUGAGUGAGGUUUGGGGGAAGUUGUGCAUGAGGUGAGCUAGGUUCUGCCUAACUAGAGAACCCAGCUUCGGCCGCCGAAGAAGGGUUCGGCCGCCGAACGUGGUGAGGAGGUGGUUUCGGCUGCCUCAACCUGCCCCCGAAGGAUUGGACUUUCGUCUCUGGAGGGGAGGUUCGGCCGCCGAAGGUGCCGCCGAAGGUGGAGACUUUCGUCUCUGGAGUAUGUUUUGGCCCCCGAACCUUGCCCCCGAAGGCUUCGACAUCCGAAAGAGGAGCUUCGGCCGCCGAAAGUAGGCGAGUUUCGUCUCUGGAGAGGACAUUCGGCCGCCGAACCUGCCGCCGAACGUGUCCUGCCCAGCCUUCUUUUGCAUGCUUUGCAUGAUUGUUCUAGGAUCUUUUAGGGGGUUUUUGGGAAGGUGUUUAAGAGUUGUUUUAGAGUUAUGUGAGCAUUGUUUGGCACCUCAUGUACGUCCACCUGUGUAGGCUCGGACCUGAGGCGAGGUGUUUAGCUCCAGUGUGAGAGUUGGCCCAGAGUUAGUCACAGCUUGGCUUCAGGUGAGUAGACCUAACUAUGCAUGUUUUCAAGUUAAUGAUUACAGCGCAUGACAGUAUGAGCAUGAGACACGCAUCAUGAAUGCCAUGUGAGACUAGGUUGUAUUGCAUUAGAGAUCACGAAUAUGUUGCAUUGCAUUCUUAUUGUUGAUGGGAUGGACCAAGGCGAUCUCAGUAGCCCGCUACCUGUUAUGGCUAGAUAAGACCUUUGGGAGCUCUGUAGUUAGGGGUCGGGCUCUAGUACAUGUAGUGACCUGGGAGUCCGUAGGGACCGGGCACCGACAGAGGGAGUUCUGGGAUCAUGUCUAAUCCGAGAUGUGAGCUGUUUGUGUUGUGACACAUUCCAUGAAAGCAUAUAAUGAAUGAACUAUUUUAUGGUUUCUACUCACUGGGCUCUUGUAGCUCACCCCAUUCCCAUAAUCCCAGUUUUGCAGGGCCAGAGUUCAGCAGAGAGAGCUAUGAGAAAAGCAG
rnacentral:lncRNA from 1 species